rnacentral:rRNA from 2 species
AGGAUGAACGCUGGCGGCGUGCCUAAUACAUGCAAGUCGAGCGAACUGAUUAGAAGCUUGCUUCUAUGACGUUAGCGGCGGACGGGUGAGUAACACGUGGGCAACCUGCCUGUAAGACUGGGAUAACUUCGGGAAACCGAAGCUAAUACCGGAUAGGAUCUUCUCCUUCAUGGGAGAUGAUUGAAAGAUGGUUUCGGCUAUCACUUACAGAUGGGCCCGCGGUGCAUUAGCUAGUUGGUGAGGUAACGGCUCACCAAGGCAACGAUGCAUAGCCGACCUGAGAGGGUGAUCGGCCACACUGGGACUGAGACACGGCCCAGACUCCUACGGGAGGCAGCAGUAGGGAAUCUUCCGCAAUGGACGAAAGUCUGACGGAGCAACGCCGCGUGAGUGAUGAAGGCUUUCGGGUCGUAAAACUCUGUUGUUAGGGAAGAACAAGUACGAGAGUAACUGCUCGUACCUUGACGGUACCUAACCAGAAAGCCACGGCUAACUACGUGCCAGCAGCCGCGGUAAUACGUAGGUGGCAAGCGUUAUCCGGAAUUAUUGGGCGUAAAGCGCGCGCAGGCGGUUUCUUAAGUCUGAUGUGAAAGCCCACGGCUCAACCGUGGAGGGUCAUUGGAAACUGGGGAACUUGAGUGCAGAAGAGAAAAGCGGAAUUCCACGUGUAGCGGUGAAAUGCGUAGAGAUGUGGAGGAACACCAGUGGCGAAGGCGGCUUUUU